AGGAUGUGGCUUAAUGGUGGAGCGCUUGCCUAGCACGUGUGAGGUCCUGGGUUCAAACCCCAGUACUG
rnacentral:tRNA from 1 species